GCGAAGAACCUUACCAAGGCUUGAAAGGCCAGUAGUAGAAUCCUGAAAGGGAAACGACUCGUAAAGCCGAGAGCUGGUACAGGAGCUGCAUGGCUGUCGUCAGCUCGUGCCGUGAGGUGUUAGGUUAAGUCCUGCAACGAGCGCAACCCCUGCCAUUAGUUGCCAUCAGGUAAUGCUGGGCACUCUAGUGGGACUGCCCGCGCAAGCGGUGAGGAAGGUGGGGAUGACGUCAAGUCCUCAUGGCCCUUACGUCCAGGGCUACACACGUGCUACAAUGGUCAUUACAACGGGUUGCAAAACCGCGAGGUGGAGCCAAUCCCUGAAAAAUGACCUCAGUUCGGAUUGCAGUCUGAAACCCGACUGCAUGAAGCUGGAAUUGCUAGUAAUCGCGGAUCAGCACGCCGCGGUGAAUACGUUCCCGGGCCUUGUACACACCGCCCGUCAAGCCAUGGAAGCCGGGGGUACCCGAAGUCAGUGUCUCAACCGCAAGGAGAGAGCUGCCUAAGGUAAAACCGGUGACUGGGGCUAAGUCGUAACAAGGUAGCCG
rnacentral:rRNA from 1 species